UACGUAGGGGGCAAGCGUUGUCCGGAAUUAUUGGGCGUAAAGAGCGUGUAGGCGGCCAGAUAAGUCCGCUGUGAAAUCUCGAGGCUCAACUUCGAGCUGUCGGUGGAAACUAUCUGGCUAGAGUCCGGAAGAGGUGGGUGGAAUUCCUAGUGUAGAGGUGAAAUUCGUAGAUAUUAGGAAGAACACCGGUGGCGAAGGCGGCCCACUGGUCCGGUACUGACGCUGAGGUGCGAAAGCGUGGGGAGCAAACAGG
rnacentral:rRNA from 1 species